UUGUGUGUAAGAAGAUAAUUGCCUUUAUGACAAAAUAUAAUAUAACAAUACUAAAAAGAUAUUAUGAAUGAUCUCAAAACCAGUAAUUAAGUUGAGAGAGAAAACAAUACAUGACGUCAGAAAAUUUUCCCUGUAGCUACAAUUAUAACAAUACUUAUCUUAUCGUGCUCUGGAGGGCGUGAUAACCUGGUGUUCUUCAUGCCAGAGUCCCAGCCCCUCUAACAGCAGAGUUAACAGAUUCUGUCUAUUAUAACUUCUCUUUCUGUAUGUAAGCCAAAACUUUUAGAAUAUUUGAGAAAAUUCUGACGAUUGCAUCAAAUAGAAUAACCUACAAUUUACAGAUAUUUCUUACGAUCAAGCAUUUUAUUUUGUCAGAGGGUUGAUGUGAGAAGACUUUGAAAGAAAGCCAUUUCUGAGGAGAUUAAGAAAGAGGGUUGAUGUGAGAAGAAUUUGAAAGAAAGCCAUUUCUGAGGAGAUUAAGAAAAGAGGGUUGAUGUGAGAAGACUUUGAAAGAAAGCCAUGUCUGAGGAGAUAAAGAUAAGAGGGUUGAUGUGAGAAGACUUUGAAAGAAAGCCAUUUCUGAGGAGAUAAAGAAAGAGGGUUGAUGUGAGAAGACUUUGAAAGCAAGCCAUUUCUGAGGAGAUUAAGAAAGAAGAAGACGUCAAUUGAAGAGAAUGCUCCACGCCCGAUGUCUUGAAGAUGGACCCGCUCCACAUUGGAAGGAUGAAAAUAGAAGAUGCCGUCUGGGUGAAGACUUCUGCCCGUCUGGAGGACCACUUCUGCCGGCUUUGUUGAGGACAUCUUGCUGCUUGGAUGAAGACUUCUCCCGGCUUCGUUGAGGAUGGAUGUCGGCUCUUCAAAACUAGGGUUGAUGUGAGAAGACUUUGAAAGAAAGCCAUUUCUGAGGAGAUAAAGAAAGAGGGUUGAUGUGAGAAGACUUUGAAAGAAAGCCAUUUCUGAGGAGAUUAAGAUAAGGUUUUGGGAUAUGAUCUAUGAUUUGAAACCUAAGUUGGCUUACUGAAUGUCCAGCUUCAAUAAAAUGGGCAGAGCCUGGAAGGGAUUUGUCUUCACACCUAAUAGAAGACUUAUGUGCACUAAUUCUAUCUUUAAUGGGGCGUAUCGUUUCCCCUACAUAGCCCUGCCCACAUGGGCAUUUCAAUAGAUAGACUACAUGAGUUUGUUCCAUUGGAUGAAACAGCAGCAACUUGUUUCAUAAUUCAAGCAGCACCCAGGGAUAAGUCCAUUGGAUAAUAUUGUUUUUGGAAAAUACUGCAAUUGAUCAGACAUAUCUACUAGCAAGUUGCUUUUGGAUAUCAUUCUCUCAGAAUUGGAGCUUUCCUUAAAGCAUUAUACCACAUUGGAUGAGAUCAUGAAGCUGUAUCCAGAGAGUAAAAACACUAACUUCAUUAUUUUUGAGCUUUUCAUAUUUAGGUAAACCUGUACAGAUAAAAUUCCAUAGUGCACUCUCCAAAAGAUUGAAGAUGUUAUGCAAGUAAACCUUUUAAAUAAAGAAAUGUUUGGUGCCUAGGUGAAUAAAAGAAAGAAAAAAGAAGAUAAAAGACCUUUCGUCAAGUUUGUUUUAACCACCGUACUGCAGUAAAAGUUGCUGAACUAUCUUUGGAUCCAUUCUUUGCUUUGCAAGCUGGUACCAGCCCCAUAACUGUACUCUGGGUAAUCUAUGACUGUUUCUUAUGAUGUGUGUCUUCAGAAUAUAAAGACUAUCCUUCUCUGGACUGUGCCUUGCCUGUUGGAAUUGAGGAUCUGUUAUGCUGUUUCAGAGUCAUCCACAUUUAAAUUAGGGGAGUAUUGUUUUAACUUGUUCACUUAUAUAGCUUGUUUUGUAUUCUCUUGUAAUUGUGUUAUUUUUGUUGAUAAUAUUAGUUAUAAGAAGUUAUAUAGCUUUGUCUGCAGAAAAGUAUGCCUUAUUUGUAUUAGUAUACAUUAUAUACUUAACAAAGUAACCCUCUAGAUAAGUGUAACUCUAAAUCUUGCAGUAUUGUAACCUAUUGAAUGGCCCACUGAGUAUGGAGAAUAUGGCCUAGAUUUGGAGUUUGGCGGUAGCCGUGAAAACCAGCGUUAGAGGCUCCUAACGCUGGUUUUAGGCUACCGCCGAUAUUUGGAGUCAGUCAAAAAAGGGUCUAAUGCUCACUUUUCAGCCGCGACUUUUCCAUAAUGCAGAUCCCCUUACGUCAAUUGCGUAUCCUAUCUUUUCAAUGGGAUCUUUCUAACUCCGGUAUUUAGAGUCGUGGCUGAAGUGAGCGUUAGAAAUCUAACGACAAAACUCCAGCCGCAGAAUAAAGUCUGGAGUUAAGAGCUUUCUGGGCUAACGCCGUUCAUAAAACUCUUAACUACUGUGCUCUAAAGUACACUAAAACCCAUAAACUACCUAUGUACCCCUAAACCGAGGCCCCCCCCACAUCGCCGACACUCAAAUAAUUUUUUUUAACCCCUAAUCUGCCGACCGCCACCUACGUUAUACUUAUGUACCCCUAAUCUGCUGCCCCUAACACCGCCGACCCCUAUAUUAUAUUUAUUAACCCCUAACCUGCCCCCCACAACGUCGCCGCCAGCUACCUACACUUAUUAACCCCUAAUCUGCCGUCCGCACGCCGCCGCCAGAUACAUUAUAGCUAUGUACCCCUAAUCUGCUGCCCCUAACACCGCCGACCCCUAUAUUAUAUUUAUUAACCCCUAAUCUGCCCUCCCUAACAUCUGCAGACCGAAUCUCGCCGAUAUUCUAAUAAAUGUAUUAACCCCUAAAGCUAAGUCUAACCCUAACACUAACACCUCCCUAACUUAAAUAUAAUUUAAAUCUAACGAAAUUAAUUAACUCUUAUUAAAUAGAUUAUUCAUAUUUAAAGCUAAAUACUUACCUGUAAAAUAAAUCCUAAUAUAGCUACAAUAUAAUAGCUAUUUUAGGAUUAAUAUUUAUUUUACAGGUAACUUUGAAUUUAUUUUAACCAGGUACAAUAGCUAUUAAAUAGUUAAUAACUAUUUAAUAGCUACCUAGUUAAAAUAAUUACAAAAUUACCUGUAAAAAAAAUCCUAAUCUAAGUUACAAUUAAACCUAACACUACACUAUCAAUAAAAAUAUUUACAAACAUAAGAAAAAUAUUACAACAAUUUUAAACUAAUUACACCUACUCUAAGCCCCCUAAUAAAAUAACAAAGCCCCCCAAAAUAAAAAAUGCCCUACCCUAUUCUAAAUUACAAAAGUUCAAAGCUCUUUUACCUUAUCAGCCCUGAACAGGGCCCUUUGCGGGGCAUGUCCCAAGAAAUUCAGCUCUUUUCAUCCAAGAUGGCGUCCCUUCAAUUCCUAUUGGCUUCUAUCAGCCAAUCGGAAUUAAGGUAGGAAAAUUCUAAUUGGAUGAUGG